GCGGUUGUGGUGGAACGGCAGACACGCUACUUUGAGGGGGUAGUGGGGGUGACCCCGUGAGGGUUCAAAUCCCUCCAACCGCACCA
rnacentral:tRNA from 1 species